rnacentral:tRNA from 1 species
CGGGAUGUAGGUCAGUCUGGUAGACCGCCGCUCUGGGGGAGCGGAAGCCGCAGGUUCGAAUCCUGCCAUCCCGACCA